GUCUAUGGCCAUACCAUUCUGAAUGUGCCCAAUCUCAUCUGAUCUCAGAAGCUAAGCAGGGUCAAGCCUGGUUGGUACUUGGAUGGGAGACCAUUCCCAUAGUAGUAGUCCUGACC
ensembl:rRNA 5S_rRNA 5S ribosomal RNA